CCUACGGGAGGCAGCAGUAAGGAAUAUUGGUCAAUGGACGCAAGUCUGAACCAGCCAUGUCGCGUGCAGGAUGAAGGCCCUCUGGGUUGUAAACUGCUUUUAUAGGGGACGAAAAAGGGACUUUCUAGUUCAACUGACGGUACCCUAGGAAUAAGCACCGGCUAACUCCGUGCCAGCAGCCGCGGUAAUACGGAGGGUGCAAGCGUUAUCCGGAUUUACUGGGUUUAAAGGGUGCGUAGGUGGGUCGGUAAGUCAGCGGUGAAAUCUUCAAGCUUAACUUGGAAACUGCCAUUGAUACUAUCGAUCUUGAAUCAUCUGGAGGUAAGCGGAAUAUGUCAUGUAGCGGUGAAAUGCUUAGAUAUGACAUAGAACACCAAUUGCGAAGGCAGCUUACUACGGAUGUAUUGACACUGAGGCACGAAAGCGUGGGGAUCAAACAGGAUUAGAUACCCUGGUAGUCCACGCCCUAAACGAUGGAUACUCGACAUACGUGAUAUACUAUGUGUGUCUGAGCGAAAGCAUUAAGUAUCCCACCUGGGAAGUACGAUCGCAGAUUGAAACUCAAAGGAAAUUGACGG
rnacentral:rRNA from 1 species